CAGACCUCCCACAGGCCUUCAUCCAGUAACUGAUGAAACCAGAUGAACAGAUCCACAACCAAGCAUCAGACCGAACUCCAGGAAUGAAGCAGCAUUUACAGUGGUCAAGAAUGGAGGCAUGUACCUGUCCCUGAUGAAAAGAUCAAGGAAAUGUUGUACAUAUACUAAAUGGAAUACUACUAAGCCAUAAA